CUUAAUAGGAACGUGUUAACUGCCUGGGGUCUCAGAAGUUCCCGGGUCAGGCCACGCCCACAACCUCGAGCCCCGCCCCCUCCCCCGGUCCCAGAGCUCCCAGCGCCUCGCUGCUCAGAGGACCCUCUUUGCUCGCCGACCGUUCUCAACUCUCCGCUUCUGCACCUAGCCUGGCUCCAAAGGACACCAGACCAGUUCAAAGGAUCCAAAGUAGAGAAGCAGAGCCUCUCCGGAGGGAAGAGGAACAGACCAGAACCUCCCAGGGGCGGCUUCGAAGGCCACACCGGGCGUCCGCAGGCUGCGUCCACCCACCGGAACGUCCUUUGACGCGCCCCUCAGUGGCCCAGCCCUCGACCCGCCUCCUUGCGCACGCGCAGUGAGGUGCAGACCCGGAACGAGGGGCGCUCUCGCGAGAGAGUCUCGGUUUUUUUGGUCCGAAACUAACGGCGCCAUGCAGUCUUCAGGCCCCGCUUCUCCACACCUCGGUUUCGGGGGUCUCCCGCUAAUGAAGGAGAAGCAGCAUUCCAAAAGAAAGUAAGCGUGCUGUCGGGGUGAAGAAGAGAAUAUCAGCAUCCUGUAAUGUUGCUUGGACGCAGAGCAUGGCGCAGAGAGGGAAAGAAAUGCAGGCAAAGCGGGGGUCCUGUUGCCAGGGGCUCACGACAUCAUCUCUCCCGAGGAGCGUGACUGGAUCCUGUUGACACGAAGAGGUCACGGAGAGGCUAAAACAAGGUGCUACUAGGGUUUCCCGUUGCCUUCAGGACAAAAAUCUAAAGUCUUCAGUGUAGCUUCCGCAGGGAGCUCUGGAGCUGGGGUGGCCCCUCGGAGUUGCUGCCACUUGUCGGAUGGGACGAGCAUCCUAUCCUGCAUCAGCCAGUCACUGGAUGCUGGCUUCCUCGGGAGGAGCCAGGGGCAGGGAGGAGGCACUUGCCCCUGGCUGAGGGCCAAGUGGACAAAGGACGGCGCAGUUGCAGCGCAGGGGGCGUUCCAGCAGCAGCAGGGAGGGCUUCCUGAGGAAGCGGGUGACAGGCUCACUGACUGGUCUCCUUCUAGGAGGUUAUUUUGUCUGCAUCCCUCCUGUUGCUGUGGUCCUUCUCUCCCCCAUAUUAAGAAUAAUCCUACCUGAGAAAGAAGCUCAGAGGAAGAGGAAAGAAAGAAGGAAUGGUUCUUUCCCAGGGAAUUUACGUUCAAGGAUGUGGCCAUCGAAUUCUCUCAGGAGGAAUGGGAAUGCCUGUACCCUGCUCAGAGGCCUUGUACAGGGACGUGAUGUUGGAGACCUACAGGAACCUGCUCUCCCUGGGAAGCCAUUCUGCUAGACUUGCAAUCAAGGAGUUAUCACCAAGAGAAGACAUUGAUAAAGGAGAAUUAUGCCAUAUAGUGGUACUGGAAAGAAAUGAAAGUCAUGGCAUCAAGGAUUUUGACCUCAAGAAGUCUGUGCAGAUGUGCAGGAAUGUGAGAGUGAGUGGGGAUAUGAUGCAAGAGAUUAUGAAGAAGUGCUUUUGACCCAUAACAAAAAUCUCAGAGAGAAGGUCAAGAUAAUUAAAUCCUUAAUUAAUUUUC